rnacentral:lncRNA from 1 species
GCCAAGGGCGGAAUUGAGACAUUUCUCAUUGAGCGAAAGUUGGAUAAUGCUAAGCCAUGUGGGGGAGCUAUUCCCCUUUGCAUGGUCGGAGAAUUCGACCUGCCGCCCGAAAUUAUCGACCGCAAAGUGACGAAGAUGAAAAUGAUUUCGCCUUCCAAUGUUGCUGUCGAUGUUGGUAAGACUCUGAACGACGACGAGUAUAUUGGUAUGGUUAGGCGAG